UGGCAUCAUGAGGUAGGAAAAUUAUGUGGAGAUAUUGAAGCAACAUCUCAAGACAUCAGUCAGGAAGUUUAAGCUUGGUCGCAAAUGGGUCUUCCAAAUGGACAAUGACCCCGAGCAUACUUCCAAAGUUGUGGCAAAAUGGUUUAAGGACAACAAAGUCAAGGUAUUGGAGUGGCCAUCACAAAGCCCUGACCUCAAUCCUAUAGAAAAUUUGGCAGAACUGAAAAGGCGUGUGUGAGCAAGGAGGCCUACAAACCUGACUAGGUUACAUUUCACAUUCUUAAAAUAAAAUGGUGAUGCUAACUGACCUAAGACAGGGAAUUUUUACUAGGAUUGAAUGUCAGGAAUUGUGAAAAUCUGAGUUUAAAUGUAUUUGGCUAAGGUAUAUGUAAACUUCUGACUUCAACUGUAUGUGUGCCCAUGCAUCUAUCAAUCCAAUGUUAUCAUGAUUUGUCAUCAGGGAUAUUAUACUUUAGUAAUCCACAAUGACCUGGUGAUGUAAAACUCUAAUUACAUUGUCUUCCAUAUUCCUACAGAUACCUUGUAACUGGGGAUUCCUUCAAAAUGAUUGCCUACAGUUAAUGUGUAUGGCACUGCAAGGUUGGGUGACCAGGGCCAUCUGGAACUGCCUCCUGAAGGAAUUCAGGUGUGUGAAGGCUACCUGUGUCCUGCAUAACUUCAUGAGGAUGGACACGACGACCAGUAGGGGAUCUGCAGCUCGCAACCGUGUGCCAGAGGACAAGUCUGCUGCUCAGCAGGAUGUUUCAAGGAUGGGUACAACAACGCAGCAAGAGAGGCAAUCAAUGUGCUGGAGAUCUUCACCUCCUACUUCUUAGAAGAGGGUGCUGUUCCCUGGCAACACCAUAGAGUACACUAUGCACAACCAAAGGCUCUUUUAAGAGCCAUUCACAUUGCAAUAAGAGUAUUCUUCCAUUUACUAAGCUAUGUCAACUGCAGUUAUUCAAUUCAGUUUCUCUCCCUUUGAUAUCUACUUCUCAGGUGAGGGUGCUGUUUAGGUAAGGGUGUGAUGUCUGUACAAAAACAAAACAGGCUAUUUUAAAUCACCCAUAUUGAAAAAAUGUAGAACAAUUAGACACCCUAUAACCCACACCUACACACUCAUUUAUCAAUCUGAUUGAUGGAUUGUGUUGUGCAGUAAGCAGGCUCAGGUGUAUAACUGUGGCUCCUUCCACCUUCAAAGUAUAGGCAAGAGGGCCAACCAUGGAGAAUAGUAAGACACUUCAUUAUUUCUAUAACUACGCUAUAUUUGUCCUCGUGUGUCCGUUCAUGUUUUUCAGCAUAAUGUACUCUGCAGCCACACACACAGAUUCCUGUUGAACACUGUCUCUUUAACUACCUUAUUUUCUCAAUAACGGUCCCUCUCCUUCACUACAUCCCUCUCUCCUCUUCUCCCUAAAUCCUCUACUUUAUAUCAGUUGUGUCGGUGAACUCCUCCCGCAUCUGAACUGGCUACAUAGAGGGCACAGCACGAUCAGAGAUAUGUUUUGAUGUGAGAGAGGAUGCCAACCCCAAAUCCUAUCAUCGCCACCUCACCCUCUUUUAAGAUAACCUUCGGGCCGACUAGAGACAAUAUUAUGUAAUUGUGAUGAACUGAGAGAAUAUUUGGGUCGCACUGUGAUUCAUUAAUCAUAUGCUGCCUUCCCUGCUCCUAUGUUCUUACCUCUUUCCCUUUGUCUUUUACACCUCUCUUGCCACCUCUUUCUUCCUUUGUUUUUAUAAAGCAAACAGAUGUGCAUUGAA